CCCCCGCCCUCUGCCGCUCGCAGCCCCGCCAGCGAGAAGCCGCUGUGAGCGUGAGUCGCUUCGGCGAAGUCACACCCCCACGGAGGGCAGGAAUCCGGGGGCUGCCGCGGAAAUAAGAAGAUAAAAGAACAAGGCCACCAUCACCAUGAGGAAACAAUCAUACAAAUACAGACUAUGGGACAUUCUAGAAGAUAAACCAAACUGGAAUUGUCAGUAUUAUUAAAAAUAAAUGAGGAGACUCUUCCAUAUCAGGACAAGACUAUAAAAGAAUAAAUCGUAAUGCCACUCAAGCCAUGACAGUAAAUGAAGUGAACAUGAAAGCUUUACCAAGACUUCCAGGAAGUGGAACCCAUCUUCUUGGU